CUGGUUGAUAGUUCUGGUGCUUGGCCUAAUAUUAAACAACUGAACUGUCAUGUCUGAGUAAUAAAACAGUAGUAGUUAAAGUAAAACAGAAUCCUAAGCUAAUAAAAAACCCAUUCCUUAGUAUAGAUAACACACAUGCUUAAGAGACAUUCCAGACAUGGUGAGUACCAUUAAUUAUAAGUAAGGAAUAUCCCGCUAGUUAAGUUGCAGUAUAUAUGACCUCAGGCAAAAUAGAAACUAUAAGGUACUUCAUCACAAUAAUAAAAAGUAGCUUGAUAGUAAACAUAAAGAAAUAAAGUAAAUGUAUUUCUUUGCUUAUGUGUCAAAAAAAAUAACUUCACAGCCAACAAAGACUCUGCGCUGGAAUUGGGAGCCCCUGUUACACAGGCUUUUUC